CUUGGGAUCACCCCAGGAUCACUGAAACUCGUCCGCAGGAGUGUGGCCAUGGCGAACAGGAAGAGAACCGCUGCAAACACGGGGAUGGCUGGCGAGAGCUGGACUGCCAGGUACCGACACUCGAAGGCGAAGAAGAGGGCGCAGGUGCCGAGGAUGAGGAAGAGAGUCAGGUAGAAGAUGCCCUUCUGCCGGGCCAUCAUGAUGCGGCCAUCGCAGCAGAAGGUGUUCCUGCCCGGCAGUUUCUCCCAUUUCCGUACCACCUUCUUCCUCGCCACCAUCACCGACAUGGCGGGGCCGUCAAUGGGGCCGCCGCUCGGCCGGGCGCUGCCGCUCCUCUGCCCCCGGCAUCCUCGGGCCCGCCUGGGCCGGGCUGGGCUGGGCCGUGCGCCCCAGGCGGUGUCGGCAGCGCCAGACCGGGCCGCGCCGAUCGCUGCUCAGCGCCGCGGGAGGGGCCGCCACGCCCCGCG
rnacentral:lncRNA from 1 species